rnacentral:rRNA from 1 species
UAGGGGGCAACCCUGAUCCAGCCAUGCCGCGUGAUCGAUGAAGGCCUUAGGGUUGUAAAGAUCUUUCAGCUGGGAAGAUAAUGACGGUACCAGCAGAAGAAGCCCCGGCUAACUCCGUGCCAGCAGCCGCGGUAAUACGGAGGGGGCUAGCGUUGUUCGGAAUUACUGGGCGUAAAGCGCACGUAGGCGGACCUAGUCAGUUGGGGGUGAAAUCCCGGGGGCUCAACCCCGGAACUGCCUCCAAAAACUGCUGGUCUGGAGGUCGAGAGAGGCGAGUGGAAUUCCGAGUGUAGAGGUGAAAUUCGUAGAUAUUCGGAGGAACACCAGUGGCGAAGGCGGCUCGCUGGCUCGAUACUGACGCUGAGGUGCGAAAGCGUGGGGAGCGAACAGGAUUAGAUACCCUGGUAGUCCACGCCGUAAACUAUGAGAGCUAGACGUCGGGCGGCUUGCCGUUCGGUGUCGCAGCUAACGCAUUAAGCUCUCCGCCUGGGGAGUACGGCCGCAAGGUUA